rnacentral:rRNA from 1 species
AGAGUUUGAUCCUGGCUCAGAGCGAACGCUGGCGGCAGGCUUAACACAUGCAAGUCGAGCGAGAACCCGCAAGGGGACAGCGGCAAACGGGGUAGUAACGGGUAGGUGACGUACCCUCGGGUCGGGGAUAGCCACGGGAAACUGUGGGUAAUACCCGAUAAUCUCCUGGAGCGUGAUAGCUUCGGGGAGCAAAGGUGAGAUUCCACCUGGGGAGCGGCCUGCUUCGUAUUAGCUAGUUGGUGAGGUAACGGCUCACCAAGGCGACGAUGCGUAGGGGGUGUGAGAGCAUGACCCCCACCACUGGGACUGAGAUACUGCCCAGACACCUACGGGUGGCUGCAGUCGAGAAUCUUCGGCAAUGGGCGCAAGCCUGACCGAGCGACGCCGCGUGUGGGAUGAACGCCCUUGGGUUGUAAACCACUGUCAGAGGGGAUGAAAUGC